UACGUAGGGUGCGAGCGUUUGUCCGGAAUUAUUGGGCGUAAAGGGCUCGUAGGCGGUCUGUUGCGUCAGGAGUGAAAACUCGGGGGCUUAACCCCCGAGCCUGCUUCUGAUACGGGCAGACUAGAGGUAUGCAGGGGAGAACGGAAUUCCUGGUGUAGCGGUGAAAAUGCGCAGAUAUCAGGAGGAACACCGGUGGCGAAGGCGGCUAUCUGGACGGUUUCUGACGCUAAGACGCGAAAGCGUGGGGAGCAAACAGG
rnacentral:rRNA from 1 species